rnacentral:rRNA from 1 species
CCUACGGGAGGCAGCAGUGGGGAAUAUUGGGCAAUGGGCGCAAGCCUGACCCAGCAACGCCGCGUGAAGGAAGAAGGCUUUCGGGUUGUAAACUUCUUUUCUCAGGGACGAAGCAAGUGACGGUACCGGAGGAAUAAGCCACUGCUAACUACGUGCCAGCAGCCGCGGUAAUACGUAGGUGGCAAGCGUUGUCCGGAUUUACUGGGUGUAAAGGGCGUGUAGCCGGGUUGACAAGUCAGAUGUGAAAUCCUGCGGCUUAACCGAAGAACUGCAUUUGAAACUGUUGAUCUUGAGUACUGGAGAGGCAGACGGAAUUCCUGGUGUAGCGGUGAAAUGCGUAGAUAUUAGGAGGAACACCAGUGGCGAAGGCGGUCUGCUGGACAGCAACUGACGGUGAGGCGCGAAAGCGUGGGGAGCAAACAGGAUUAGAUACCCUAGUAGUC